UCAAAUUUCUUUCUCAGGCUUUUUAUUUCCCGAGACUCCUCUGUUGAUUGUGACCUUAAUUACGAUAACUGCUAGCUCGAGAAUGAACCGCAAGACGCAACCUGUGAAUGUGAAAGGAGGGAAAUUCUUUCUUCACUAAAACAAAUUUUUGGUCUUUCAAUUGCUGAUUGGUGGGGCCCGAGACCAAGCAUUGAUGCGCUCAUUUGGCCAACUGGUAUGUACCAUAUCUCUACAAAGUUACGUGAUCUAUCGAUCAAGACAGAAGGUAACAAAAAAAGUUUCAAUUUUGACCUGCAAUUUUUCCACCAUCGUUUGAUGUUUUAAUGAGGAUGGCAUUGGCUGCUUACCAGUCAUUUGGGUUAUCAGUCUUGCAGUUUUUCCACCUGCAAUUCCAGCAUAUAAUGUUCUUUUCUUGAUAAAUACGUCAGCAUUUUGUAAAGAUCAGAAGUUGCCUAUGUUAGAAUCAGGAAGUUUGCAAAGAGCUUCUGUAAUUUAGAACUUACAUAAGCUAAGGAGAAUUCUUGUUAUCAAAUGAAAAACAUCUAACAUGGCUAUUAAAUAGCCUUACACUUGAACUGAAAGAAAAUGCAACAGCCCACGAUUUUACAGGUCCUAUAAUCGUGGUAAAGACUACAUCAAAACAGAAAUACAAGCUUGUCCCUCAAGUAUAGGGAUUAUUGGACUCCUACGUGAUUAACAAACCUAAAAACUAGGAAUCCUAGCAGUAAACCUUAUCAGUAACAGCUAGAGAUUCCAACAACUUCAACAUCCUCCCUUAAACUGAAUACCACAGAUAUUCAGUUUACUCCUGGAAACUUGCAAACACCCAUCAAAUCUCGCAUCUUCAGAAAUGUAUCGACCUUCAAUGGUUUCGUUAAGACAUCUGCAAUUUGUUCCUGAGUUGAACACUGGACCAACUCUAAAACUUCACUCUUGACCAAGUCUCGAAGGAAAUGAAACCUUAUAUCGAUAUGCUUGCUGCGACCAUGCAUCACAGGAUUCCUUGAGAGUUUGAUUGUUGAAACAUUAUCACAAUACACCAAGGUUGGACUAUAUUGCUCCUGAUUAAGACUCUUCAAUAUCCUUCUUAACCAAACAACUUGGCAUGCACUCGAUGCUGCUGCUAUGAAUUCCGCUUCAGUGGUGGAUAAAGUGACAACUGGCUGUUUCUUUGAGGACCAAGAAACAGCACCUGAACUUAGUUUAAACACAUAACCUGAGGUGCUCUUCCUAUCAUCUUGAUCGCCAGCAUAGUCGCUGUCUGUAUACCCAAUAAGCUCAUCCUUUCCUCCCUUCUUGUAGAAUAUCCCCAAAUCAAUAGUCCCUUUUACAUACCUGAAAGCUCUUUUUGCUGCCAGCAAGUGAGCCUCAGUUGGACGCUCCAUGUACCGGCUGAUCAAACUAACAAUAAACAUUAAAUCAGGACGUGUGCUUGUUAGAUACAUGAGACUUCCCACCAUCUGUUUGUAAACAGUGCUAUCAACUUCGACUCCUCCUUCAUCCUUUGUGAGUUUAAAACCAGGAACCACAGGGUUGAGUACUGAAUUACAUUGAGCCAUGUUGAAUCUCUCCAAGACCUCUUGAGCAUACUUUCGUUGACUGAUAAAGAUCCCAUCAGAACCUUGUAUCACUUCAAUGCCAAGGAAAUAUCUCAUUUUUCCAAGGUCUGUCAUGUCGAACUCAACCAUCAUAGACUUCUUAAAUUGUUCAAACAUUGUUGCAUCAUUACCAGUAUAAAUGAGAUCAUCAACAUAAAGACACACUAUCAAGAUCUUACCUCCUUCUGCUGUCUUAAUGAACAGAGUAUGCUCAUAAGGGCACUUGUUGAAUCCUUCCUUGAUGAAAUAUGACUCUAUACGACUAUACCAGGCUCGGGGGGCCUGUUUAAGUCCAUAUAGAGCCUUUUUGAGUCGAUACACCUUUGUCUCAUGCCCCUUCUGUUCAUAUCCAGGUGGUUGAUCAACAAACACCUCUUCAUUGAUCUCCCCAUGCAAAAAUGCGGACUUGACAUCUAGCUGGUAGAUCACCCAAUUUUUUUGAGCAGCAAGGGAAAUGACAAUUCGAAUGGUGUCUAGACGAGCUACUGGUGCGAAUACCUCUGCAUAGUCUAUUCCAUAUUGUUGACAGUAGCCCUUAGCAACUAGUCGUGCUUUGUACUUGUCCACUUCCCCUUUCUCAUUGAGUUUCGUUUUAAACACCCACUUUACUCCAAUAGUUUUCCCUCCUGGUGGCAACUUCAUUAAUUCCCACGUAUUGUUCUUUUCAAUGGCUUGUAUCUCUUGAUCCAUAGCUUGUCUCCAUUUUUCAGACUUCACAGCAUCUUCAAAGGUUGUCGGAUCUUGAUUAAUUAAUAAUGCCAGGUGAGCCAUGCUAGCACUCUCAUCAUCAGAUAGGUCCUGACCUGUUACAUAAUCUCUCAUCCAAAUUGGUGGUCUUCGAAUUCGUUCCAUACGAGGUGAGAUCUCGGCUGGUUGAAUGUUUUCUUCAAUCAAUGCGCCACUGUCAGACUCAGAUUCAGUCUCUCCCACAACUUCAUCAGUUCCAGAUUCGUCACUUUCCUCCCUUUGUGUGCUAUUUUCUUCAUCUGAAUCCCACUCAAGAUCUGCCACUAUAGCUUCCUUGUGACUGUCAUUCCAACUCCAUUGUUGAUCCUCUUCAAACACAACAUCUCGACUGAUAAUUACUUUCUGUAAAAUAGGAUCAAACAAUCGAUAAGCCUUAGAUUCCUCACUUACCCCAAGUAGUAUGCACUUACAGCUCUUGGCAUCAAGCUUCACCCUUUUGGUAUCAGGUACGUGAACAUGAGCAAUGCAGCCAAAAAUCCUGAAAUGAUCCACAGAUGGUUUGUGUCCAUUCCAAGCCUCCUCAGGUGUCUUGUUCUUCACGGCAAGGGUAGGGCAUCGAUUCAACACAUGCACUGUCCAAUUUACUGCUUCAGGCCAGAAGGUUUUGGGAAUUUGUUUUGCUGACAACAUGCUUCGCACCAUGUUCAUGAUAGUGCGAUUCUUUCUUUCUGCAACACCGUUCUGUUGGGGAGAAUAGGCUGUAGUCAGCUGCCUGUGAAUCCCAUUCUCAUGACAAAAAUUUGUAAACUCAUGUGAGGUGAACUCUCCUCCUCUAUCUGUCCUCAGGCUUCUUAUAAAUGCUCCAGUUUCUUUCUCUACCCGUGAUUUGAAGAAUUUGAAUGUACCAAAUGCUUCUGAUUUCUCUACUAAGAAGUAGACCCAUGUUUUUCUGCUGAAAUCAUCUAUAAAGGUGAUGAGAUACCUUUUAUUACUGUUCGAAGUAGGAUUAAUUGGUCCGCAGAUGUCAGCAUGCACCAACUGAAGUACCUUGGAAGCUCUCCAUAAGCUUUCUUUGGGAAAUGGAUCUCGGUGCUGUCUUCCUACCAAGCAAUCUUCACACACCCUUUGAGAGGCUAUGAACUGAGGCAAUCCUUCUACCAUUUGCUUCUGUUGAAGCACUUUAAGCCCGUUCCAACUGAGAUGCCCAUAGCGACAGUGCCAAAGUUGUGCUUGAUCUAUGGUGAGCGAGGAAAAACACUUUUGUUCCUUUGGUGAACAGCGGGCCAACACUGCAAACAUUCUAUUGUGACUCAUCUUGGUCUCCAUGAUUAAACCUCUCUCAGAGUGAAAGAUCUUGCACCUUCCAUGUUGAAUGAGUACUGUAAGUCCCUUCUCUUGCAACUGACCAAUGCUUAACAAAUUAUUUUGCAAAUCUGGUACGUAGAAAACACCUGUGAUCACAUGUAUAAUGCCAUUCACCUCCAUUCGCACAUUUCCCUUGCCUUGCACAGUCAAACUCGAAUUGUUACCCAACUUCACGGAUUCUUUGAAACUGCUAUCAAGCUCACAAAACAUGUCUUUCUUCCCACACAUAUGAUUGCUGCACCCAGAGUCGAGAAACCAUAUGUGCUCCAUUGUUGCUUCCUUGGAUUCCACAAGUGCCAUCAACAGCAUCUCUUCCUUUGUCUCCACAUAGUUCGCUUUCUCUUCCUUAGGUUUCCUAGGACACUCCCACUGAAAGUGCCCUAGUUCAUGGCAAUUAUAGCAUUCUAAGGUUGACUUGUCGAACCCUUGCCUAUCCCGUCCUCUUCCUCUUCCUCGAUAAGUUCCUCGACCUCGUCCUCCUUGCUGGACUCCAUAAGUGACUAGGAGUGCUUGCUCAUCCACUACAUGUCGACUCAUCCUUUGCUCGUGCACGAGAAGGCUACUCUGGAGUUCAUCUAUAGAUAGGAUGUCCAGGUCAUUAGAUUCCUCAAUCGAACAGACAACAUAAUCGAAUUUCGAAGUCAUGGACCUCAAAAUUUUCUCAAUGAUCACCACAUCAUCCAUCUUCUCCCCUUGAGUUCUCAUCUUGUUGGCUAUGGUAAGUGUUCUCCCAAAAUAGUCAUUGACUGUUUCUCCAUUCUUCAUGUGCAGUACCUCAAACUCCUUGCGAAGAGCCUGCAAUUGAGCACGUUUGACACGUGCAGUUCCUUGAUACUUCUGUUUCAAGGAGUCCCAUAUAUCCUUCGCGGUAUCCUUCUUCAGAAUGGUCUCCAAUAUUGACCGAUCUAUGGCUUGGAACAAAUAGUUCUUGGCCUUCAAAUCCUUCAGCUUCAGUUCAUCUAAAAUCUUCUUCUGUGCUUCACUGGAAUCCGAUCCCCCUGCUGCAGCAGUGAUCCCAAUCUCCACCAGGUUCCAAUACUCUUUGGAACGAAGAAAGUUCUCCAUUAGCAUACUCCAAUGGUCAUAGUGUCCAUCAAACCUUGGAAUGGCUGGUUGCACAAAACUAUUCUCAGACGCCAUGCUUUUGUUUCCUCACUCUAGCACCUAGGUUGCAAGCUUUUGAUCAGGCCCCGUAACUAGGCUCUGAUACCAAAUGUUAGAAUCAGGAAGUUUGCAAAGAGCUUCUGUAAUUUAGAACUUACAUAAGCUAAGGAGAAUUCUUGUUAUCAAAUGAAAAACAUCUAACAUGGCUAUUAAAUAGCCUUACACUUGAACUGAAAGAAAAUGCAACAGCCUAUGUUUUCAAUCCGCACUACUUACCAGUCAAUUGUCGUCUCCUUCACGGUACAUGCAGGGUCUUCUCAGUCAACAAUCACAAGGGUGUUCUCUAAUUCUAUCCUUAACUUGAAUGGAACCAGUAGGAACGGAGAUCCAGAGCAA
rnacentral:lncRNA from 1 species